rnacentral:rRNA from 1 species
GGGGAAUAUUGCGCAAUGGGCGGAAGCCUGACGCAGCGACGCCGCGUGGGGGAUGACGGCCUUCGGGUUGUAAACCUCUUUCAGCAGGGACGAAGCGAAAGUGACGGUACCUGCAGAAGAAGCACCGGCCAACUACGUGCCAGCAGCCGCGGUAAUACGUAGGGUGCAAGCGUUGUCCGGAAUUAUUGGGCGUAAAGGGCGCGCAGGUGGUGUGCUAAGUCUGCCGUGAAAUCUCCCGGCUCAACUGGGAGGCUGCGGUGGAGACUGGUACGCUUGAGGUACCUAGAGGUCGGUGGAAUUCCCGGUGUAGUGGUGAAAUGCGUAGAGAUCGGGAGGAACACCAGUGGCGAAGGCGGCCGGCUGGGGGUGACCUGACGCUGAGGCGCGAAAGCGUGGGGAGCGAAC